AUACUUACCUGGCACAGGAGUGACUUUGAUCAAGAAGGAAUGCCCUCCCAAGGUGAGGCCUCGGCAUUGCACUUGGCUGAGGUUGACCCUUGCGAUUCCCCCAAAUGUGGGGUUUCUUUGGGGUGGGGAAAUUUUCAAGUUUAUUAUAGUUUUACGUAUAUCAAUAUA